AUGGUGGAUACCCCAAAAGAGAGCGAUAACGAGGACCAACGGGCCGCGGCAGAAGAUAACCCCACCGAUAAACAACCAAAACGGCGGCGCAGACGCCGCCCUAAGUCCCGUCUCGACAACAACAACGCUCCUAAGGAGCCCGUAAUACAGCAGGGCUCACAAGUGGACGACGAACAUGCAGAUAAGCAACCGUCCGAACACGACGAGUCAGAUAAUCAGUCCAGGCCCGGCGAAAACGACAGUCCGGACGAUCUCAUGCCGGACACGCCGCCGGAGAGCAAAAACCUUCGGAAAAGACUCGUCAACACUGCAAGAAGCCUGAAGAAGGAAAAGCGGAAGCUCAAAACAGCGGAAGACACACUCAGAAUGAGAUGGAGCAAAGUGCUCAAAACCGCCGAUAAAUACGGCAAUGGUCACCAAUCAAAGAACUACCCGAAGCGCAAGCUGCUACCAGAAUUCGACGAGGAGGCCAUAGAGCCUCCACCGUCAAAAAAUAAAGAGGUUGCCUGGUUGGAUAGACGGCCAGAUGAUAGGCCAAAUUCUGAAAGCGGCGCCGCACAUAAACCAACUAAUGAACCUGGAAAGACAGAUGGCCCAGCCAGGUCCAUCUACGGGCCAAAGAAGAAGGCCCCAGGAAGCAAGGCAACACGUCAAAUGUCCGAAGAUAGUGGCACACCCAAAUACAGGGGCGCCGCACACCCACUAUGUUUCACCGAUGAGGUGCUGGACCAUGAAUUCCAAGCAGGAUUUAAACCCAUAAACAUAGAGGCCUACGAUGGAACAACAAACCCUGGAGUCUGGAUAGAAGAUUACAUACUACAUAUACACAUGGCCAGAGGAGAUGAUCUCCACGCCAUAAAAUACCUACCCCUCAAGCUCAAAGGGCCAGCCCGUCAUUGGCUUAAAAGCCUCCCAGAAAACACUGUGGGAAGUUGGGAAGAGCUCGAGGAAGCGUUUAGAGCAAAUUUUCAAGGGACCUAUGUCCGCCCUCCGGAUGCAGAUGAUUUAAGUCAUAUAACUCAACAGCCCGGAGAGUCAGCGCGCAAAUUCUGGAACAGGUUCCUCACCAAAAAGAACCAAAUAGUCGACUGUCCGGACGCCGAAGCCUUAGCAGCUUUU
rnacentral:rRNA from 1 species